rnacentral:ncRNA from 1 species
AAUUCUGUCGGUGUCUGUUUUAUGCAGAUGAAAAGGGAAACAGGUAAAAGUCCUGUGCGAACUCGUCACCGUAUGUGUAUUAAGUAUUGUCACGCAUUUAUGCAGUCACUGAGAAAUCGGGAAGGCGACGAUACAGUUUUUGCACGAGCCGGGAGACCUGCCGACGGAA